rnacentral:rRNA from 1 species
AUUGAACGCUGGCGGCAGGCCUAACACAUGCAAGUCGAGCGGAUGAAGGGAGCUUGCUCCUGGAUUCAGCGGCGGACGGGUGAGUAAUGCCUAGGAAUCUGCCUGGUAGUGGGGGAUAACGUCCGGAAACGGGCGCUAAUACCGCAUACGUCCUGAGGGAGAAAGUGGGGGAUCUUCGGACCUCACGCUAUCAGAUGAGCCUAGGUCGGAUUAGCUAGUUGGUGGGGUAAAGGCCUACCAAGGCGACGAUCCGUAACUGGUCUGAGAGGAUGAUCAGUCACACUGGAACUGAGACACGGUCCAGACUCCUACGGGAGGCAGCAGUGGGGAAUAUUGGACAAUGGGGGAAAGCCUGAUCCAGCCGUGCCGCGUGUGUGAAGAAGGUCUUCGCAUUGUAAAGCACUUUAAGUUGGGAGGAAGGGCAGUAAGUUAAUACCUUGCUGUUUUGACGUUACCAACAGAAUAAGCACCGGCUAACUUCGUG